AAAGGUAAUCAUAGCCUCCUGGUGUCGCACAUCCAUGGGAAUAAUGAAUUUAUUUGGACUAGAAACUAAGACCUGCUGGAAUGUCACCAGAAUAGAACCUAGGAUUGGGAGAUCCUGCUUGCUUUUAUGUUGGUGUAGUCUUUAUUUUGAAUGGACUAAUGAUGAGAUUGUUCUUCGUGUAUGGAGCAUAACCUGAGGAUGUCAUGCCCAGAGCUGUAGCGGUCAUCUUGUGACCAUAAGGGAAAGGCCAUAAAAAUAGGUGGGACUCAACUAGGAGGUCUUAUUACAGUACUGUGCUGCUUUUUCAACCAUGGAGAGGUCACCCGUGUGAUGUGGACACAACCUCUCCGUGAAAGUUUUUCCUAUCCAUUCCUUGUACUUCAGAUGUAUAUUUUAACUUUGAUUCUCAAGGGACUGUAUUAUUCCUAUUUCAAGACUAUUGUGGAAACACCCUCAUUUUUGAAUGGAGUAUGGAUGAUUAUGAAUGAUAAACUGACUGAAUACCCCCUUGUUAUUAAUACAUUAAAAAGAUUCAAUCUUUACCCUGAGGUAAUUUUGGCCAGCUGGUACUGGAUUUAUACCAAAAUAAUGGACUUCAUUGCAAUUCAAACCAAGAUAUGUCGGACGAUUGGGAGAUCUUGCUUGCUUCUAUGUUGCUGUAAUUUUUAUUUUAAAUGGACUAAUGAUGGCAUUAUUCUUCAUAUAUGGCACAUAUUUAAGUGGCAGCCGAUUAGGAGGCCUGGUUACAGUGUUGUGCUUCUUUUUCAGUCAUGGAGAGUGUACCUGUGUAAUGUGGACACCACCUCUCCGCGAAAGCUUCUCAUAUCCAUUUCUUGUUCUUCAGAUGUUGCUUGUGACUCAUAUUCUCAGGGCUACAAAACUUUAUAGAGGAAGUUUGAUUGCACUCUGCAUUUCCAAUUUAUUUUUCAUGCUUCCUUGGCAGUUUGCUCAGUUUGUACUUCUUACUCAGAUUGCAUCAUUAUUUGCAGUGUAUGUUGUCGGGUACAUUGAUAUAUGUAAAUUAUGGAAGAUCAUUUAUAUACACAUGAUUUCUCUUGCACUUUGUUUUGUUGUGAUGUUUGGGAACUCAAUGUUAUUAUUAUGCUGCUUCUUUGGUAAUUAUUUGGGUAAAUAUUCCUUACUUAUUUGGCUGUUUUUGAAAU
rnacentral:lncRNA from 1 species